rnacentral:rRNA from 1 species
UACGAGGGGGGCGAGCGUUGUUCGGAAUUAUUGGGCGUAAAGGGUGCGUAGGCGGUUUGGUAAGUCUGAGGUGAAAUCUAUGGGCUCAACUCAUAGUCUGCAUCGGAAACUGCCGGGCUUGAGUGUGGGAGAGGUGAGUGGAAUUCCUGGUGUAGCGGUGAAAUGCGUAGAUAUCAGGAGGAACACCUGUGGCGAACGCGGCUCACUGGACCAUAACUGACGCUGAUGCACGAAAGCUAGGGGAGCAAACAGG